UACGUAGGUGGCAAGCGUUGUCCGGAAUUAUUGGGCGUAAAGCGCGCGCAGGCGGUCCUUUAAGUCUGAUGUGAAAAGCCCCACGGCUCAACCGUGGAGGGUCAUUGGAAAACUGGGGGGACUUGAGUGCAGGAGAGAAGAGUGGAAUUCCACGUGUAGCGGUGAAAUGCGUAGAGAUGUGGAGGAACACCAGUGGCGAAGGCGACUCACUGGCCCGAUACUGACGCUGAGGCGCGAAAGCGUGGGGAGCAAACAGG
rnacentral:rRNA from 1 species